ensembl:scaRNA
UGGCUGAUGAUGACUAGAAGACUGCACAAUCUGAGUUCUGGGAACCAGGUGAUGGAGCAAGGUGUACAACAGAUUGAGGCCA